AUUGAACGCUGGCGGCAUGCCUUACACAUGCAAGUCGAACGGCAGCACGGGAGCAAUCCUGGUGGCGAGUGGCGAACGGGUGAGUAAUAUAUCGGAACGUGCCCAGUAGUGGGGGAUGACUGCUCGAAAGAGCAGCUAAUACCGCAUACGACCUAAGGGUGAAAGGGGGGGAUCGCAAGACCUCCCGCUAUUGGAGCGGCCGAUAUCAGAUUAGCUAGUUGGUGGGGUAAAGGCCUACCAAGGCAACGAUCUGUAGUUGGUCUGAGAGGACGACCAGCCACACUGGGACUGAGACACGGCCCAGACUCCUACGGGAGGCAGCAGUGGGGAAUUUUGGACAAUGGGCGCAAGCCUGAUCCAGCAAUGCCGCGUGCAGGAAGAAGGCCUUCGGGUUGUAAACUGCUUUUGUCAGGGAAGAAAUCCUCUAGGUUAAUACCCUUGGGGGGAUGACGGUACCUGAAGAAUAAGCACCGGCUAACUACGUGCCAGCCGCCGCCGUAAUAC
rnacentral:rRNA from 1 species